CUCGCAUCACCCUUCCCGCCUCCUCCCACCCCUCCCCUUUCUCCUCCCACUUCCUCCUUCCUUCUCCCUCUCGAGAAGGACCCGAAAAGCUGGAGUCGGCUUCUGCUGUCCCUGGAGUGGCCUGUGCACACCAGUCCCCUCCCUGCCCCUGGACAGCCACCCUGCUCCUGCCGGGCUGCAAGCUGCGAGGCCUUCAGAUCGGGGCACCCUUGGACCUGGCCUCCUUCAAGAGGCAGGGGCACAGACCUCCGCGACUAAGGUCCAGCGGGACUUGUAUCCCGUCCUCGUCUAGACGGUCUAGAAGAGGCUUCCGCCCUUCCCUGGCUCUCCACUCUCCUGCUUUGGGUGUCCAAGGACAGGACCUCCAGCCUAGCUUCCCGAGGCCAAACCUCUCCCUCUCUCUCUGCCCCAAAAGCCACCUCCCAAUCUUCCUGAGAGCCUGAUGCUCCCUUAAAAUCUGCUGCCCCCAGCUCUCCACUGUCCAUUGUGAAUCGGCCACAGGGUUUUGCGGUCUCCCCACAACCGAGGCAGCCGAGGACCCAUGGCUGUCAAGAUCACAGAAGGAUUCCACUUGCCACUUCUGCCCAUCGCUUCACCAAGUGAGGAACCCCAGUUUUCUACCUCUUCCGCCAAGCUUGUAAUGUUCAUGUUAAAAGAUAACCAACAGAACAGGGCACAGUAUUGUCCUGGGUUUUUGCCUCCCAAAAAAAAGUAGGGAAGCCACGGGCUGGCCAGAGAGUUGUAUUUUGUGAAUUCGCGUAGGUUUUUCGGGAAGGGAUCAGGGUGGAAGGGGUCUUUCCAAAACCUCUCUCAACCCUCCCACAUGACCUGAGACCAGAGAGGGGCUGCAAGCUGGGUGAGGAAGGGAGUUUGAGAAGGGCGAUUGCACAGAGAGCUUUGCCACGGGAAGCAGUGAGAACAUGCCAUCCCUCAGUACCCCUGAAUGAAGCCUACUGUUCUUCCUCCAAGACUGAAUAAAAAUGUAUUCUACGCUCAGAUCCACCAGACAAAGAAGGAAUAUAGCAACAAAGCAGGGGAGAGAUGAAAAUGGGCAGUCGGCUGUUCAUUCACAUACAUGUAGUUCAUCUGCAAGGCUUCCAAGAAAGCAGCCGCACACCAAAUCCUUUCCGACGCUGCUGUAUCUGAGCCUCCUGUGAGAUAAUCCUCUUAAUGGAAUAUUUAAGAAAUCGGAUAUAAAUCACCAACCUUUUAUCUCACCUGAAGAUCCAUACUCCAUUGGACGGAUGGCGUAUAUGUCUCUCUCCAUACGGAUGGGUGCAGGUGACUUUUCGAGCGGAGGUGGCAAUCUCUGCUUUUUUUAUUUUGAAGAUAGGGUUGUAAAGUUAUAAAUUUUAGAGAUCAGAGCCCAGAAAACAGCUGCACCUAGAGACAAUUAAAACACACAUCCCUUGGAAAAAACCUUUUUUGUCAUUUGCAACCAACAGAAAUGCCUGUUAUUGUGAUGUGCUCAUAAAUAACUUGAUUUUGGCAUAUGCUUUUGUACCAAACAGAAGAUGAAUAAAUUAAAUUUGAUUUACAACCUUUUUCAUUUUUAUUAGCACUGCUCUGAAGAGUUUAUGUAAGGGACGUGCCAGAGCAGUUAUGCCAAAUGUUUUAAGGCGUUGGUAUUGAUAUUAUAUAAAUUAAGGUGUUUUAAUUUGCAUUCUUUAAUUAACUAAAUACUGGCAGAAAAAUAAAACACAAGGGCAGCGCUGACUUAUUGCCUCUGUUAAACUGCUGACGUCUCUGAAAAGAUGCUUUAAGUAAUCCAAUUCAUGCAGAGUGGGGGAGGAAGGGGUAUUAACACUCUCUUAUUUGGCAAAACACAUUGGAGUUGAAGAAACCAAUAUCCUGCUUUGUUUGCACAGUGGUUGAGGUGGUGGGUGUGUUUUUAGACAGCCUGCGUUCGUGUCCCCAAGGAAGAAGUUGACCAAAUGUCUUAACUAUGCACCCUGCCCAGGUCUGAGCGGAGGGGCCAAAGGGGAGCCCAGCCCUGCCACUGGGUAUAAGCAGGUUCCUGGGUGCAGGGUCCUGCAGACCUGGGCUAUAUCACUGCCAUUCUAAAAAGAGACAAGCUGGUUGAAUUAAUACAGUAGAUCCCAUGUCAACAUGAUCAUGUCCAGAAACCAAGGAGAGAA